AACGAACGCUGGCGGCAGGCCUAACACAUGCAAGUCGAACGCCCUAGCAAUAGGGAGUGGCAGACGGGUGAGUAUCACGUGGGAACCUUCCCUAUAGUACGGAAUAGCCCAGGGAAACUUGGAGUAAUACCGUAUACGCCCGAGAGGGGAAAGAUUUAUCGCUAUAGGAUGGGCCCGCGUCGGAUUAGCUAGUUGGUGAGGUAAUGGCUCACCAAGGCAACGAUCCGUAGCUGGUUUGAGAGAAUGACCAGCCACACUGGGACUGAGACACGGCCCAGACUCCUACGGGAGGCAGCAGUGGGGAGUCUUGGACAAUGGGCGCAAGCCUUAUCCAGCGAUGCCGCGUGAGUGAUGAAGGCCUUAGGGUUGUAAAGCUCUUUUGCCGGGGACGAUAAUGACGGUACCCGGAGAAUAAGUCCCGGCUAACUUCGUGCCAGCCGCCGCCGUAA
rnacentral:rRNA from 1 species